ensembl:lncRNA LINC00343 long intergenic non-protein coding RNA 343
GCAGUGAAUUCUACAAAGAGGCUAUGGGAAAGAAACCUGGAAAGGUAGGGAGGUAUGGAUAUGGACAAGCUAUGCCAAGGAGCAGGGCUUUGUCAUGGAGAGUGACUAGGUGCUUUUACAUAGGAAAGUCACCUGAUAAUAUUAAAACCUGUGAAAUAUCACUCUGGUGGAAGUGUGAAUGAAUUUGAAAGGGGUGUAACACUGUUCUACUUUGUUUACUCCUCAGUACCCUUGGCUGUGUACAUUUGAGUAAAGAGAGCACUAUAAAAUCAAAAACCAAUGAAAUGGUUUCCAGAACACAGAACUAUUAAGCUUAAGAAAAGGACAGAAGGAACUGAAGAGAGAGGAACUGUUUUGGAGCAUCACACUUCCACCUCAGAAGAAAUAAGGAAGGAAGGAGGAGGGUGUUCCCACGGCUCUUCAACCAGGCCGGCUCUUCAGCCUACAUCCCCAUCUCAUCAAGUAAAAGGGAUUUUUCAACUGGACCAACCAGAUGGUUUAACAGUGCACUCCCACACCAUUCAACUACGCAAGGGAGAUACACUUAACAUAUGCAGUCGUAUAACACCUACUAACAUUUUCAAACAUUAAACCUUUAAAAAAGAGUUCUAAAGAAAUAGAAGCUUGAAGUAUCAUCUCUCAAGUAUAUAGACACUACUUCAUGGUGUGGUAAUAUAUGCAUAUAGAAGCUAGUAAACACCUCCAGGAGAUGCAAAAGGAAUUAGAACUGCCACAAGGUGCAAGCAAAACCUUGAGUCUCCAUUGAUGGUGAAGUAUUUUCACUAUUUGGCAUGUCUUCUCUAGUACCUAGAGCAGUGCGUUGCAUGCAGUAGCAGGUUUAUAAACAUUUGCGAGUAAAACAUCCAACCUGAUACUCAAGCUUCUUUAAAAUAUGAAGACUUCGAAGUUAUUUAUCCAAACCAACCUGAUCAUUUCUUAAGAGUGAAUAUACCUUGGAAGACGUGUCCUGCCUUUAGUAGCGUCACAAUGGAUUACAUCCUCUAUAAAGCAGUCUGGGAUAUUCUGCCCAAUCAGAGGCUAACAUCUGCCACAAGACAAAUAUGGUGCCUGCCCCCAUGGAGCUCAUAUUCGAAUGGAGAAAAUGUCAACAAGUAUCCCACGGAGUGAACACUUCAAAAGGAGAAGCACAGGUGAGAAAAUCGAAUUUGGACACCGUUGAGGAGACUAUUGCAGUCAUCCAAGCUCAAGAUGGUGGAGCUUCAUCCUUGAGAAUAACCAAUGGGGAUAGAUUUAAGAGACACUUAGAGUCUGCAGCCAACAGGGCUGAAUGAGCAUUCUGUUUUUCCUCUUCUAAUCCUUCACCCAUCUGAGCUAAAGUCUAGACCUAAGGAGGCUACUAAUUCAGGGAUCGAGUAAUCUGCCAAGCAAGAGUUUAUUCAAGCACAGUUUGAAAUAAAGGUUUCAAAUGCAUAGCCUGUCGAUACUUUGGAAGGAUUCUCAUCAUAACGAGUAUGCAAUUUGCUAUAAAGAAGAAUGCCCAUUACGGACUAAAUGUUUAUGUCCUCCUAAAAUUCAUAUGUUGAAGGCCUAACUCUCAAUGUGAUGAUUAUGUGGAGAUGGUGCCUUUGGGAGGUAACUGGGCUUAGAUGUGGGCGUGAGGGUGGGGCCUCAUGGUGAAAUUUGUGCCCUUGUAAGAAAAACACACCACAGGUUUUCAUUCUUCCUCUGCCACAUGAGGCCACAGUAAGAAUGUGACCAUCUGCUAGCCAGGAGGAAAGUCCUCACUGGAACCCGCCCAUAAUAACACUCCAGUCUGGGGCUUUUCAGCCUCCAGAACCAUGAGAAAUAAAUUUCUAGUGUUUAAGUC